rnacentral:rRNA from 1 species
CCUUCUGGUUGAUCCUGCCAGUAGUCAUAUGCUUGUUUCAAAGACUAAGCCAUGCAUGUCUAAGUCCAAGCUGGGCGUUGUGGGUGCAAGCUUACUCGCUCGGCGAAACCGCGGACGGCUCAUUAAAUCAGUCGUGGUCCAAAUGGGCCAGUGUUAUCUUACUUGGAUAACUGUGGUAAUUCCAGAGCUAAUACAUGCAACUGAAGGUUCGAUCGGUAAGGGGCAACUCUUGCUGUGACGACUGCUUUUAUUAGACCAAACCGCUCUGAGCUUCGGCUCUUAGACUCGUGUUAUGGUGACUCUGAAUAACACCACUUGACAAGCGCACGUAUCCACUCGUUGGGACGGCGCUGCCACUUUCGAGUGUCUGCCUUAUCAGCUAUGUAUCGUUCGUUAUGUGCGACCGAUGGCUUUGACGGGUAACGGGGAAUCAGAGUUCGAUUCCGGAGAGGCAGCCUGAGAAACGGCUACCACGUCCAAGGACGGCAGCAGGCACGCAAAUUACCCAAUCCCAGCUUCUGGGGGAGGUAGUGACGAAAUCUAACGAUGCGGGCGCUCCUUCUGGAGCCCCGCAAUCGGAAUGAGCAUUCUCUUUCUAAACACCCUGUUGAGAACCUACUGAAGGGCAAGUCUGGUGCCAGCAGCCGCGGUAAUUUCCAGCUUCAGCAGCAUAUACUAAUGUUGCUGCGGUUAAAAGGCUCGCAGUUGAAUGUCAGUAUCGAGCGUAGCGUGGUGGACGUUGGGGUUUGUUGGGAGUAGGCUGAUGGAUCUCUGUCUCUGAUGGAGUGAAGUUGACUGAUGCCCAGCAAGUUUAAGCCCCCGUCCGUGUCAAGCCUCCUCGCUCGUGUACAAAGUGGAAGUUUCUGUUACAGAGAGUAGAGUCUCACUCAUGUGCUUUGCGCGUGUGUGUUGUACGAUGUUCUCUUGAGCUUCCGAAGGCACCUUGAGUAAAUCAGAGUGCUCAAAGCAGUCGUAAGGAGCGUUCCGGUUCGGCCGUGCGCUCCGUGAUGAAUGUCAUUGCGACAGACGGUCUUGGUUUUGCAUGGUAUGUCGAAAGACGCCGCCGCUGUUGGUAACGAGUCUGGUGCGGGGUUGUGUCGUCUCUGCCUUCAACACUCCUUGUGUGUGUUUGAAGUGUGGGGGCUGCUCGGCCAUUUACAAAGACCAACAGUUGCGGAAUGAUUAAGAGGGACGGUCGAGGGCAUUAGUAUUGCGAGGCGAGAGGUGAAAUUCUAUGACCCCCGCAAGACUUCCUGAAGCGAAAGCGUCUGCCAAGGACGUUUUCAUUAAUCAUGAACGAAAGUUAGAGGAUCGAAGGCGAUCAGAUACCGCCCUAGUUCUAACCCUAAACGAUGCCAACCAUCAAUCCGCGCGUAGCACCCUUUCUAACGGGCUCGGCGGGCAGCUCCCCUCUCACGGGAAACCAGAGUCUCUGGGUUCCGGGGGGAGUCUGGUUGCAAAGCUGAAACUUAAAGGAAUUGACGGAAAGGCACCACCAGGCGUGGAGCCUGCGGCUUAAUUUGACUCAACACGGGCCAUCUCACCAGGCCAGCACUCUUGUAUGAUUGACAGAUUGAGAGUUCUUUCUCGAUUCAGUGGAUGGUGGUGCAUGGCCGUUCUUAGUUGGUGGAGUGAUCUGUCUGGUUAAUUCCGAUAACGAACGAGACUCUCCCCUGCUAACUAGUCGGUUGGAUCUUGAUUCGAGAGUUGCCGAGGUGUGCUUGUGUAAGGGGCGUGUGUGCGCGGUGAGGUGUUGAGUUCUCGAUCACUUUGCGUGUGAGAGACUCUCAUUGAUCUGUGUGCUUGUUUCCUGCCUUCAUACUAGCUGGCACUCCAAGUCCACCGCUUGCCCGGCUGCGUGUGGAUGCCUUUCGGGGUGUUUAUGCGUGGUGGGUAAAACUCUUCUUAGAGGGAUUGACGGUUCUGAAGCCGUAAGAGACUGAGAGCAAUAACAGGUCUGUGAUGCCCUUAGAUGUUCUGGGCCGCACGCGCGCUACAAUGCCGGGCACAGCAGGUGUUUGUCCUUCUCCGAGAGGAGUGGGUAACCCUCUGAAAGCCCUUGAAACUUUAUCGGUGUCGCGUGUGUGUGUUUACACAGGCACGUGACCUAUUGGCUUGCUUGGGCCUGGGGCUUGCAAUUCUUUCCCACAAACGAGGAAUGCCUAGUAGCGGCGGAUCACUGAGUUCGCUGUGACUCAGUCCCUGCCCUUUGUACACACCGCCCGUCGCUACUACCGAUUGGGUGUACAGUGAGAUCUUUGGACUGGCGAGCCUUGCGCUUCUCACGGGGCGCAAGUGUGUACGACGGAAAGAGGCUCGAACUGGUGCACUUAGAGGAAGUAAAAGUCGUAACAAGGUUUCCGUAGUGAACCUGCGGAAGGAUCAUUA